UGUAGAUUAUCAGAAACUUCCUGCAUGUCAUCACUUAGCAUAUUUACUGCAGACUGUUUGGACGCAGAGGACGACACAUCAGACGCUGGUGUAGUGAACUCAUUCAGGUGUUGCAGCUUUCAAAGGUUUCAUUCUGAAGAAUGGAAGAAUACAGUAACAGCAGUGAUUACAGCAACGUUACCUCUGAACUAGAGACCUGGCAAAACUUCUUUGAAUCCAGAAACGUUACCUCUGAACUAGAGAUCUUCUGGAACAGCGUCUUUCACAGUUUCAUGGCAGUUAACCCUUUCCUACAUGUGGUGACAUAUGUGAUCGUCGGUGUCGGCCUUCCUUUGACCCUCGUGGCCAUCUAUGCUCUUUAUUCUCAGGUGAGAAAUGGUCAAGUUGCUCCGAUCUACGUCAUCAACCUUCUCAUCUCUGACAUCAUUCAGUUCUGCUGCAUGAUCG